rnacentral:tRNA from 1 species
GGAGGUAUAGCUCAGUGGCAGAGCGCAUGCUUAGCAUGCAUGAGGUCCUAGGUUCAAUCCCCAGUACCUCCA